rnacentral:rRNA from 1 species
GACGAACGCUGGCGGCGUGCUUAACACAUGCAAGUCGUACGGUAAGGCCCUUUCGGGGGUACCCGAGUGGCGAACGGGUGAGUAACACGUGAGUAACCUGCCCACAACUUUGGGAUAACGCUAGGAAACUGGUGCUAAUACUGGAUAUGUGCUCCUGCUGCAUGGUGGGGGUUGGAAAGCUCCGGCGGUUGUGGAUGGACUCGCGGCCUAUCAGCUUGUUGGUGGGGUAGUGGCCUACCAAGGCGGCGACGGGUAGCCGGCCUGAGAGGGUGACCGGCCACAUUGGGACUGAGAUACGGCCCAGACUCCUACGGGAGGCAGCAGUGGGGAAUAUUGCACAAUGGGCGCAAGCCUGAUGCAGCAACGCCGCGUGCGGGAUGACGGCCUUCGGGUUGGAAACCGCUUUCAGCAGGGACGAAGCUUUUUGUGACGGUACCUGCAGAAGAAGCACCGGCUAACUACGUG